rnacentral:rRNA from 1 species
AUACGUAGGGUGCGAGCGUUGUCCGGAAUUACUGGGCGUAAAGAGCUCGUAGGUGGUUUGUCGCGUCGUCUGUGAAAUUCCGGGGCUUAACUCCGGGCGUGCAGGCGAUACGGGCAUAACUUGAGUACUGUAGGGGAGACUGGAAUUCCUGGUGUAGCGGUGAAAUGCGCAGAUAUCAGGAGGAACACCGGUGGCGAAGGCGGGUCUCUGGGCAGUAACUGACGCUGAGGAGCGAAAGCAUGGGUAGCGAACAGGAUUAGAUACCCUGGUUGUCCAUGCCGUAAACGGUGGGCGCUAGGUGUAGGGGUCUUCCACGACUUCUGUGCCGUAGCUAACGCAUUAAGCGCCCCGCCUGGGGAGUACGGCCGCAAGGCUAAAACUCAAAUGAAUUGACGGGG